rnacentral:tRNA from 1 species
GUGGUCGUAGCUUAAUUGGUAAAGCUCCGGUUUGUGGUACCGGCGAUCUGUGGGUUCGAGUCCCAUCGACCACC